ACGGCUCAGUAACACGUGGNCAACCUACCCUCAGCACGGGGNUAAACCCGGGAAACUGGGUAUAAUACCCGAUAGUUCUGGGAAGCUGGAAUGCUAUCAGGACGAAAGCUCCGGCGACUGAGGAUGGGUCUGCGGCCUAUCAGGUAGUAGUGGGUGUAAUGUACCUACUAGCCUACGACGGGUACGGGUCGUGAGAGCGAGAGCCCGGAGAUGGAUUCUGAGACACGAAUCCAGGCCCUACGGGGUGCAGCAGGCGCGAAAACUUUACAAUGCUGGCAACAGCGAUAAGGGGACCUCGAGUGCCAGGAUACAAUCUUGGCUGUCGUAAUGCCUAAAAAGCAUUGCAUAGCAAGGGCCGGGCAAGACCGGUGCCAGCCGCCGCGGUAACACCGGCGGCUCGAGUGGUAACCGCUAUUAUUGGGUCUAAAGGGCCUGUAGCCGGCCGGAUAAGUCUUUUGGGAAAUCCAGCUGCUCAACAGUUGGGCUUUCAGAAGAUACUGUUCGGCUCGAGACCGGGAGAGGUGAGAGGUACUUCAGGGGUAGGGGUGAAAUCUUGUAAUCCUUGAAGGACCACCAGUGGCGAAGGCGUCUCACCAGAACGGAUCUGACGGCAAGGGACGAAAGCUAGGGGCACGAACCGGAUUAGAUACCCGGGUAGUCCUAGCCGUAAACGAUACUCGCUAGGUGUCGGCCACGGUGCGACCGUGGUCGGUGCCGUAGGGAAGCCGUGAAGCGAGCCACCUGGGGAAGUACGGCCGCAAGGCUGAAACUUAAAGGAAUUGGCGGGGGANCAC
rnacentral:rRNA from 1 species